UGGGGAAUUUUGGACAAUGGGCGAAAGCCUGAUCCAGCCAUGCCGCGUGAGUGAAGAAGGCCUUCGGGUUGUAAAGCUCUUUUAGUCGGAAAGAAAGAGUUGCAAUGAAUAAUUGUGAUUUAUGACGGUACCGACAGAAAAAGCACCGGCUAACUACGUGCCAGCAGCCGCGGUAAUACGUAGGGUGCGAGCGUUAAUCGGAAUUACUGGGCGUAAAGGGUGCGCAGGCGGUCUUGCAAGUCAGAUGUGAAAGCCCCGGGCUUAACCUGGGAAUUGCGUUUGAAACUACAAGGCUAGAGUGCAGCAGAGGGGAGUGGAAUUCCAUGUGUAGCAGUGAAAUGCGUAGAGAUGUGGAAGAACACCGAUGGCGAAGGCAGCUCCCUGGGUUGACACUGACGCUCAUGCACGAAAGCGUGGGGAGCAAAC
rnacentral:rRNA from 1 species